GCUGCCGGCAAAGGCUAAAUUUUGCUGCAGUUUCUCAUGACGUGGAAUGAUGCUUUAUAUUAUUGUCGGCUUAACAAUUACACAUUAACAACGGCUUAACAACUACAUACUGAUAAGUCUAGAAACAAAAAUGGAGAACAAUGCGAUUUCACCAACAUAUUAACAAGCACAAAAGGCUUACUUCGACGACCAUGGUUUUGGACUCCAAGCUUUAUUAACGAAACAAAACAAGAAAUGUGAAGAUCCGAUUACAAGAAUCACGGCAUAUAGUACACACUCUGGUAAAUGACUUGCUUGCAAAUGCCAAUAACGAUGACGAAAAGAAAAUGAGGAAUGCGUGCAUGGUUGUUCGGCUUACUUUUAGCUCCACCUAUCUAACUCGAACUUGACCGACCAAGGCCCACUUUUUUCGCUAGACCAACCGUAGCCGGCGUUCCUCAACCAUUAUCGGUAUGGCUAAGCCUUUUAUACCGUGUUAUUUGGGUUGGAAUCGCGUUUAUAACGUGUUGGUCCCUGAUCGUUUAAUUAAACAAAACAGCAGACAAUAGAUCAGAAAAUGAAAAAAUGAA